AUGUAAAAUUUCCUACGUGAGCAUGUGCAGUAGAGUCAUUUGUCUCAACCUAUUUGGAGCCAAAAAUUGAGUUAGUUAAAUAUAGAACCACAAGAAUCGAACUAACUUGAUGUUAAACAUGCAAAAGUGCCAAAAGUUUAUGGUACAAAUAAAAAAAUAGCAACAGAUGCAUAUGCAAACUCGAGGGAGUGAACCGAUACUACUAAAUCUUCAGAGUCUGACCCAAUGGACGUCGGUUAACUCGUCCAACUCAUCGGUUGGAGUCCGCAUCAUUUAUGAUGAAUGCGCUUAACUCAUCCGAGUCCACUGAGUCUGCUAAAUUGAGUCAACCGGCGGUGUCUUUGUGUGCUCAUCAUCGGCUAGCCAGAGGAAUCGUCACAUCCUUUUCAGUAUCAUGAACUGAGAUGAUUCAAGAGCUCAGAAGAUUGUUUGACUUCUCCGCCCCCCCCCCCCCGGCCCCCCAACAGUCUGUUCAGAGAAGCGUCUUGAAAGGAAAAGAGUCAGAUGCUCAAUUCAAACUGAAGACUGAAAGGAUUGACCAACAACAACUUCAGCCUCCUGGAAACAGCCUGAGUGACAGUCAACAACAAAUCCAACACUGACGGCACAGACGUGUGUCACCAAUUUGAGUCCCCCACCGCAAUAGCAGGGGAACCACCCCAAGAUGCUUCGCUACUCAUGAGGCAAAGGGGCAAAAAUCCCAACCUCCAAACUAUUUCUUUCCUUCCCGUCCAAGCUUGUUUGGACCGAACAGGAUGGGAUGUUCCACAAGCUCUCAGACUUUAGCGGUGGACUCUACCAAACCUGCAGUCAAAACAGAUGAGAGCAAUGGAACCGGCAGCCCAGCAUCAGCUCAAGCAGAAGCCGCAGAUUCGACGGAACCAAAACAAGAAACAGAGGAGGCACCAGGUGAGCUCCCUUUUUAGCAUGGCUGAAUGAUUUUGACAAAUAGUCCAAUUGGGCUAUCCCCCCCACCCCCAACCCCACCCCUCAAUAUUGUGAUUCCAAUUUCAGAUGCGAUUUUUUUUCAUGGUCCUCUUCCCGAUUAUUAAAAAAAAACACAAACACAAUCAGUGAAUUCAUCUGCAUUCCAAUAAACCUCCGAUGAACGAUCCAUUCGAGAGAGCGCUUUGCAUCGCCUGCGACACCACAGCCAAAAUGCCAAAAGUUAUGAAUCGAUAUGUACGCUCGGACCGAGAAAAUAAGACGCCAAUGUCGUUGGCCCGCUUCAACGGAGAAAGACGCCUCACUGAAAUAAAAUACUCGCAAAAGAAAAAAAAAAGGUCAGGGAUUACUGCUGCACCAUGCACUUACUGUAACGGUUUACUUUUUUUUUUUUUUUUACAUUUAGGCAAUUUGCAAAAAUACAACAGGUCAAACAACCAUUCAUUUGAUUGAAUAUGAUAUCCUGCGGCAUUGUUUAAAGUAAUACCUCUUAAAUCCAAUGACAAUCAAUUUCUUUCUCUUUAACCUUUCCAUGUACAGUUGCAAGAAAGUUC